UUAAGAGGUUCAUGAAGUGAUAUGUGUGUCUAACCAUGUCAUUCAUGUUCAAUCAACUUAAAGGCUGAAAUUCUUGUGCGAAGUUCUCGCGUGUUUAAAGGCCCAAGAUUUUCUUGGUCAAGGACCGCUCCCUCCCGCAUACGUGGACGAGCGUUUACAUCGUGGUCGCGCCUCACGGCAAGGGAGGACAGCGUGUCCGCGCACCGAAGGACCGCGCCGUCGGCCGUCAGCUGUUUGCAGGACUGUACUGUUGUAGCUUCCGACCAUGGAGUCUAGCAGCCUUUCUCCCCCGGAUGGACUGAGACCGGUUGACUGACCGAGUCCGGUGAGUCAUGUGUUAGUGAAUAACCAGUUAGUUAUAGUCUUUCGUAAACCGUUCGCAUUAACAAAACGUCCGCCGCCAAAGUUGUUAGCUUCUAAGCAAACAGCAGCUCCCCAUUUGUGACGUCGGAAAGUUUCAAUGAGAAAGUAGCG
ensembl:lncRNA